UACGAAGGGGCUAGCGUUGCUCGGAAUCACUGGGCGUAAAGCGCACGUAGGCGGCUUUUUAAGUCAGGGGUGAAAUCCUGGAGCUCAACUCCAGAACUGCCUUUGAUACUGAGAAGCUUGAGUCCGGGAGAGGUGAGUGGAACUGCGAGUGUAGAGGUGAAAUUCGUAGAUAUUCGCAAGAACACCAGUGGCGAAGGCGGCUCACUGGCCCGGUACUGACGCUGAGGUGCGAAAGCGUGGGGAGCAAACAGGG
rnacentral:rRNA from 1 species